AGGAGGAACAACCACAGUGGCGGCAGCCAGCUCUGGAGCCCUGGAUUCAGCUCCCAGAGUAGCUACGAGGCUCUCAGUCUGCAGGGCCUGGAUGCUCUGGGGGUGG
rnacentral:pre_miRNA from 1 species